UCAUCUAUUUGACGUAUCCUUGCUCUCUAGUCUUUUGUAAGCUCGUCACACAAAGUAAUGCAUGCAGGCAGCCUCUUAAGCCACUUUUUGGCUAUUCCCUAAAGUAUUCCUAAUGUUUAAUAUUGAAAAUUAAUUAAAACAUGAAUGAGGCUUCAAUAUCUAAAUGUGGAAUAAUGUUUUCUAAGUAAAGGAAGUAUAGCCAUUAUUAAAAGUGUCCAUAUUCUGAAGCAACUUGGCAUGCACGCCAUCACAAUCUCCCGUAAUUACAUUCUCUGACACAAUACUUGAGGAGAAGCCUCUGUGAACUGGAGAGACCUCAUGUAAUUUCUUUCUUCUUUUUAUCCCGAAAGGCGCCGACUCCUUCCUGUGUCUCCUCAGACGAGUUGUGUAAAGAUAUGGCUACAGGCGAUUGAUUGAAUAAUCCUCCGCAGCCCUUAUCUCAGCCCAGUUCAUCACUCCAUCCAACCUCCAGAGCAAAUCUCCAUAUCUCCUCACACUAGUCCACAGGGGAUUUCUCAGCUUGCCGGGAUCUGCUGUACCCAGUGGUCUGAUAUGAAGAUAGAAUAAAGGGGCGCAAGGAUAAUGCUGUGUGACGGACUUUGUCUGAGUGGAAGGAAGUCAAAGUCAACAAUCGACAAACCACAGUAUGGAGAAAAAAAGAUCAAUACUAAUAUCAAUGUUUGGAGAGACGCAUCACUAAUACCCAUCACGACAGUCUCUCUGAAAAACCAAGAAAGGAAGCACCGGCCUUCAAGGCUGUUCCCGGCAUCUUGGCUGAAACCCCACCACUGGACUACAAGAACAACCUACUGUUACUUCAAAG